GUAGUCUCGCACAGAUGCAUAUCAAUAAGCGGAGGAAAAGAAACUAACAAGGAUUCCCCUAGUAACGGCGAGUGAAGCGGGAAGAGCUCAAAUUUGAAAUCUUAAAGGGUUUCCCUUUACGAAUUGUAGUUUAAAGAAGUGUUUUCUGUUGAGGUUUUGGUAAAAGUUCUUUGGAAUAGGACAUCAUAGAGGGUGAGAAUCCCGUAUUUGACCUUUACUUUCAACUUUGUGAUACACUUUCAAAGAGUCGGAUUGUUUGGGAAUGCAGUCCAAAAUGGGUGGUAAAUUUCAUCUAAAGCUAAAUAUUGGCGAGAGACCGAUAGCGAACAAGUACCUGUGAGGGAAAGAUGAAAAGAACUUUGAAAAGAGAGUUAAACAGUACGUGAAAUUGUCAAAAGGGAAGCGUUUGACACCAGUGUUGUUUUUCUGAAAAUCAAUUAAAGAACUGUUUAUGCUAAGUUGUUUAGACUUUAUCAGCUAACUGUUUAGUUUUGAGCUUUUCUUUAAUGCACUUUUCAGUUAACAAGUCAACAUCAAUUUCUUUUGCUGUAAAAAAGCUUGAGGAAGGUGGCUUGAGAUUCGUCUUAAGUGUUUAUAGCCUCUUGCCUAUGCAGUCGGAGAGAUUGAGGUCUGCAGCGUAGAUCCUUCGGGGCUAAAUGCAUUUGUGCUAAGUUAUAGCAUUUCAUAGACAACUUGUUGACUAUGAUUUGUCUUGUAGCUUACUCGCUUAUGUUAUUUUACCUACGCUUAGGAUGUUGAUCUGUAGUGCGUGCGC
rnacentral:rRNA from 1 species